UAGAAAUGUAAUAAUUUGGCUGGAGUAAGUCCAACCGCAUUGUAAAGUUAAUGAAUUCCUUAGCAGAUCUUUUUUUUUUUUUUUUUUUAAGACGUUGCAUUCAGAAAGAGCCACCGAGCACAAAAUUAAUUGGGCAGGCUUACAAAAUAUCCAACUCAGACAUUAUAGGAGUCAAUGAGAGAGGUUGUGUGGAGAAAGGCUUAUUGCUUUUAUCUCCCCGCGUGUCACAGUUGUACAGCCAGCGAUGAUGAUGCUUUAUAUUGAAAAUUAAAGGAGUGCUUCAAAGCCAAUUUAGAAUGAGAAAGGAAAAACUGUUGUUGCGGGACUAAACUUGGUGGGAAUUGUGACUUACCACUGCAGCACAGCCCCAGGGCUCGCUGCUGGCAGGCGUCUGCUGACCUGAUCUGGAGCUUUUGCACAGGUCAGAGCAUAAAGUGAGCACAGUGCACGUGUGGUCUUGGAUUUCCCCAUGGGGACAGAGGUGCUUUGCCCUGGGACUCACUCUGCAGCAUCUCUGAUGCUUCUGCCUGCAUUUUAUGCUGGGACUGGCUUAUGUCUCCACCUUCUCCUGGUGCUGAGAUGGUUCAUUCACCAUCUUUGCAUGUUGGAACAAAACUACCAGUGUGCCUGCUGGAGUCUGUGAGAAGAAAACCCCUUUGUAUGUGAGGAUCCAAAUCAAUGUGACCUAACAUUAAGCUUUAAGUUAGUCUUAGUCCCCUGAGUUGUAUCCAUCAUCAUAGCAAAUUGAGGGAUAAGAGACAGAAGUCUCUUCAGCAUCAUGAUGCCCUGUCCCUGGAGACACCCAAGGUCAGGCUGGACUCUGAGCACCUGAUGGAGCUGUGGGUGUCCCUGUUCAUUGCAGGGGAGUUGGACCAGAUGGCCUUCAGGGGUCCCUUCCAUCUCAAACCAUUCUGUGAUUCAGUCAUUCCAGCCAUCCUUGCUUCUCUCCCUGGACCACAAAGGAAGGCAGAAAGAUACAUCACCUACUUUGGCAUCUCAACGAGGAGCAUGAAGAGUCUGAAUGAACCCAAAUCCCAGGACCCAUAUAGAGCCCUUCAGCACGCAAGUGACUUCACAAGCAAACCAAACCCGAGGAGAAUUUCUGGAGCCUUUUCAGCAUAGAAGUUCAUCAUCAUCUUCCUAUCAUCAACACACAUGUGGUAGCAUCCUUCUGUGGACCAGCUGAAUUGCUUUGAUGUUACCUGCUGGAUUGCAAAUGGGUAGCAGGAACAUUGUAAAGCCUCAAAACCUUCUCCUCUAGGUAACCAUGUGUCUGGCACAGCACUGAGAAGAAUGACGGGUCCCUGACUCAAACACCAGAUUAAUUGCGUUGGUCAAGUGGACCAACCUUGUCCACCAUGAGUUCUACAUCUGUUUAUUCUUAUUAUUAAACAAGGAAAUUGUAAAAAAAAAAAACUUCUUUUUUUCCCUCUGUAAUUAUCCUUUCAAAACAUUGCAGUCAAAAUUAUUUCAGAUCUCUCAGCUGCAAGCUAUGGAUGAUCGUGGUCUAAGAUGUAGUUCUGCAUCAUUACAACAACAGAUCAAUAGGUGAUUAAAAUGCUAGUUUAAUUUCAAAGUUAUUGUCUCCAUUUCCUUCGUGUCAGAAAGCUUCUUGCAUGUGAAGGUAAGCUUUAGCUGGAGGGUGUGCACAAACUCUGGUGUGUGGAAUGACGUGCUGAUUAUAAAGAGGAUAAUUAGAAGAGCAUUUAAUGAAUCUCAAGAGCCAUAGCUCAGACGUCUUCGAUCACGGGUUUUAUAACCCAUGGCCUCGUGAUGAAGGCUUUUUACCACAUUUGCUAUUUUGUUGGUGG
rnacentral:lncRNA from 1 species